GACCCCCCAAGCCCCUCCCUCUCCCCAGGUGUCAAUCAAGGCCCUGUGCAAGGCCAGGGAGGCGGAGCUCCGGAGGCCACGCCCACACAGAGCUGCCAAUCACCCCGGGAAGGCCCAGGAGGCUCCGGAUUGGCUGGAGCAGGCUGAGGCCGUGCUGAUUGGCCACAGCCCGGGGGCGGUGCUCUGGGCGCUGGAGGCCCUGGCCAAUCACAGCACCAGGGCUCUCCUGGCUGGCCCGGCCCCCUCGGCUGAAGCCCCGCCCACCCUGAGGAGCCUCCUGCAGG